rnacentral:rRNA from 1 species
UACGUAGGGUGCGAGCGUUAAUCGGAAUUACUGGGCGUAAAGCGCGCGUAGGUGGUUCAGCAAGUUGGAUGUGAAAGCCCUGGGCGUCAACCCUGGGAACGUGCAUCCAAAACCUAACUGAGCUAGAGUACGGUAGAGGGUAGUGGAAUUUCCUGUGUAGCGGUGAAAUGCGUAGAUAUAGGAAGGAACACCAGUGGCGAAGGCGACUACCUGGACUGAUACUGACACUGAGGUGCGAAAGCGU